rnacentral:rRNA from 1 species
CCUACGGGAGGCAGCAGUGGGGAAUAGUGCACAAUGGGGGAAACCCUGAUGCAGCGACGCCGCGUGAGUGAAGAAGUAUUUCGGUAUGUAAAGCUCUAUCAGCAGGGAAGAAAAUGACGGUACCUGAUUAAGAAGCCCCGGCAAACUACGUGCCAGCAGCCGCGGUAAUACGUAGGGGGCAAGCGUGAUCCGGAUUUACUGGGUGUAAAGGGAGCGUAGACGGCAGCACAAGUCUGGAGUGAAAUGCCGGGGCUUAACCCCGGAACUGCUUUGGAAACUGUGCAGCUAGAGUGCAGGAGAGGUAAGUGGAAUGCCUAGUGUAGCGGUGAAAUGCGUAGAUAUUAGGAGGAACACCAGUGGCGAAGGCGGCUUACUGGACUGUAACUGACGUUGAGGCUCGAAAGCGUGGGUAGCAAACAGGAUUAGAUACCCUUGUAGUC